rnacentral:rRNA from 1 species
GGUGAACGCUGACAGAAUGCUUAACACAUGCAAGUCAACUUGAACUUCGGUUUGGGUGGCGGACGGGUGAGUAACGCGUAAAGAACUUGCCUCACAGCUAGGGACAACAUUUGGAAACGAAUGCUAAUACCUGAUAUUAUGAUUUUAGGGCAUCCUAGAAUUAUGAAAGCUAUAUGCGCUGUGAGAGAGCUUUGCGUCCCAUUAGCUAGUUGGAGAGGUAACGGCUCACCAAGGCGAUGAUGGGUAGCCGGCCUGAGAGGGUGAACGGCCACAAGGGGACUGAGACACGGCCCUUACUCCUACGGGAGGCAGCAGUGGGGAAUAUUGGACAAUGGACCAAGAGUCUGAUCCAGCAAUUCUGUGUGCACGAUGAAGUUUUUCGGAAUGUAAAGUGCUUUCAGUUGGGAAGAAAAAAAUGACGGUACCAACAGAAGAAGUGACGGCUAAAUACGUG